rnacentral:rRNA from 1 species
CCUACGGGGGGCAGCAGUGAGGAAUAUUGGUCAAUGGUCGCGAGACUGAACCAGCCAAGCCGCGUGAGGGAGGAAGGUACAGAGUAUCGUAAACCUCUUUUGUCAGGGAACAAAGGCGGGGACGUGUCCCCGGAUGAGUGUACCUGAACAAAAAGCAUCGGCUAACUCCGUGCCAGCAGCCGCGGUAAUACGGAAGGCCAGAGCGUUAUCGGGAUUGAUUUGGCUUAACGGGAACGUAGGCGGGCGUUCAAGUCAGCUGUAAAAUCGCGCGGCCCAACCGCGCCCCGCAGUUGAAACUGGACGCCUUGAGUUCACAACAGGCAGGUGGAAUUCGUGGUGUAGCGGUGAAAUGCAUAGAUAUCACGAGGAACCCCGAUGGCGAAGGCAGCCUGCUGGGGUGCGACUGACGCUGAGGCUCGAAGGUGCGGGUAGCAAACAGGAUUAGAUACCCCUGUAGUC